rnacentral:rRNA from 1 species
GGCGAGUUACGAUUUGAUGCAAGGUUAAGCAGUAAAUGUGGAGCCGUAGCGAAAGCGAGUCUGAAUAGGGCGUUUAGUAUUUGGUCGUAGACCCGAAACCAGGUGAUCUACCCUUGGUCAGGUUGAAGUUCAGGUAACACUGAAUGGAGGACCGAACCGACUUACGUUGAAAAGUGAGCGGAUGAACUGAGGGUAGCGGAGAAAUUCCAAUCGAACCUGGAGAUAGCUGGUUCUCUCCGAAAUAGCUUUAGGGCUAGCCUCAAGUGAUGAUUAUUGGAGGUAGAGCACUGUUUGGACGAGGGGCCCCUCUCGGGUUACCGAAUUCAGACAAACUCCGAAUGCCAAUUAAUUUAACUUGGGAGUCAGAACAUGGGUGAUAAGGUCCGUGUUCGAAAGGGAAACAGCCCAGACCACCAGCUAAGGUCCCAAAAUAUAUGUUAAGUGGAAAAGGAUGUGGCGUUGCCCAGACAACUAGGAUGUUGGCUUAGAAGCAGCCAUCAUUUAAAGAGUGCGUAAUAGCUCACUAGUCGAGUGACACUGCGCCGAAAAUGUACCGGGGCUAAACAUAUUACCGAAGCUGUGGAUUGUCCUUUGGACAAUGGUAGGAGAGCGUUCUAAGGGCGUUGAAGCAUGAUCGUAAGGACAUGUGGAGCGCUUAGAAGUGAGAAUGCCGGUGUGAGUAGCGAAAGACGGGUGAGAAUCCCGUCCACCGAUUGACUAAGGUUUCCAGAGGAAGGCUCGUCCGCUCUGGGUUAGUCGGGUCCUAAGCUGAGGCCGACAGGCGUAGGCGAUGGAUAACAGGUUGAUAUUCCUGUACCACCUAUAAUCGUUUUAAUCGAUGGGGGGACGCAGUAGGAUAGGCGAAGCGUGCGAUUGGAUUGCACGUCUAAGCAGUAAGGCUGAGUAUUAGGCAAAUCCGGUACUCGUUAAGGCUGAGCUGUGAUGGGGAGAAGACAUUGUGUCUUCGAGUCGUUGAUUUCACACUGCCGAGAAAAGCCUCUAGAUAGAAAAUAGGUGCCCGUACCGCAAACCGACACAGGUAGUCAAGAUGAGAAUUCUAAGGUGAGCGAGCGAACUCUCGUUAAGGAACUCGGCAAAAUGACCCCGUAACUUCGGGAGAAGGGGUGCUCUUUAGGGUUAACGCCCAGAAGAGCCGCAGUGAAUAGGCCCAAGCGACUGUUUAUCAAAAACACAGGUCUCUGCUAAACCGUAAGGUGAUGUAUAGGGGCUGACGCCUGCCCGGUGCUGGAAGGUUAAGAGGAGUGGUUAGCUUCUGCGAAGCUACGAAUCGAAGCCCCAGUAAACGGCGGCCGUAACUAUAACGGUCCUAAGGUAGCGAAAUUCCUUGUCGGGUAAGUUCCGACCCGCACGAAAGGCGUAACGAUUUGGGCACUGUCUCAACGAGAGACUCGGUGAAAUCAUAGUACCUGUGAAGAUGCAGGUUACCCGCGACAGGACGGAAAGACCCCGUGGAGCUUUACUGUAGCCUGAUAUUGAAAUUCGGCACAGCUUGUACAGGAUAGGUAGGAGCCUUUGAAACGUGAGCGCUAGCUUACGUGGAGGCGCUGGUGGGAUACUACCCUAGCUGUGUUGGCUUUCUAACCCGCACCACUUAUCGUGGUGGGAGACAGUGUCAGGCGGGCAGUUUGACUGGGGCGGUCGCCUCCUAAAAGGUAACGGAGGCGCUCAAAGGUUCCCUCAGAAUGGUUGGAAAUCAUUCAUAGAGUGUAAAGGCAUAAGGGAGCUUGACUGCGAGACCUACAAGUCGAGCAGGGUCGAAAGACGGACUUAGUGAUCCGGUGGUUCCGCAUGGAAGGGCCAUCGCUCAACGGAUAAAAGCUACCCCGGGGAUAACAGGCUUAUCUCCCCCAAGAGUUCACAUCGACGGGGAGGUUUGGCACCUCGAUGUCGGCUCAUCGCAUCCUGGGGCUGUAGUCGGUCCCAAGGGUUGGGCUGUUCGCCCAUUAAAGCGGUACGCGAGCUGGGUUCAGAACGUCGUGAGACAGUUCGGUCCCUAUCCGUCGUGGGCGUAGGAAAUUUGAGAGGAGCUGUCCUUAGUACGAGAGGACCGGGAUGGACAUACCUCUGGUGUACCAGUUGUCGUGCCAACGGCAUAGCUGGGUAGCUAUGUGUGGACGGGAUAAGUGCUGAAAGCAUCUAAGCAUGAAGCCCCCCUCAAGAUGAGAUUUCCCAACUUCGGUUAUAAGAUCCCUCAAAGAUGAUGAGGUUAAUAGGUUCGAGGUGGAAGCAUGGUGACAUGUGGAGCU